rnacentral:rRNA from 1 species
AACGUAGGGGACGAGCGUUAUCCGGAUUUACUGGGCGUAAAGCGCCCGUAGGCGGCUAAAUAAGUUGGACGUGAAAGCCUCCCGGCUUAACUGGGAGAGGCCGUUCAAAACUGUUUGGCUAGAGUCCGGAAGAGGCGAGUGGAAUUCCGGGUGAUAGUGGUGAAAUGCGUAGAUAUCCGGAGGAACACCAGUGGCGAAAGCGGCCACCUGGACUGCACCUGACGCUGACACGCGAAAGCUAGGGGAGCGAACGGG